rnacentral:rRNA from 1 species
AACGAACGCUGGCGGCAUGCCUAACACAUGCAAGUCGAACGAGAAGUCCCGGUCUAGUGGCGCUCCUCUGCUUGACGCCGGGUAACCUGCACUUAGGUUACCAAUCACUCACCGUAAGGUGUCCUAAUACCGGUUCAUGUAUUACGACCAAAGAUGUCUCGCCUUUGGAUGGGCCCUCGUUGGGUUAGCUGGUUGGUAGUGUAAUAGCCUACCAAGGCGAGGAUCCAGAGCUGGUCUGAGAGGAGGAGAGAUCACACUUGGACUGCGACACGGCCCAGACUCCGACGGAGGGGUGGAGUGGGGAAUAGUGGACAAGGAGCGAAAGUCUGAUCCAGCAGUGCCGCGUGAGUGAUGAAUGGCUUAGGGUUGUAAUUCUCUUUUACCCGGGAUGAUAAUGACGGUAAUGGGAGAAGAAGCUCCGGCUAACUACGUG